GGCUCAGCAUGGAAAUCCAGCUUUCCAGCNUUGACUUGUGAUCACAUGAUGCAAUGCCAACGUGGGCGCAGAUGCAAAUUCCUUGGAAAAGGUUACCAGCGCAGGUGAGCGUCCUGUCUGUCAUUUGCAGUCCCGUGGGUACGGUAUGCACUCUAAGAGUCACGCUCUUUGGGAUUGGAGUGCNAAAUGGGUGGNAAAUUUCAUCUAAAGCUUCAUAUAGGUCUGAGACCGAUAGCGAACAAGUACU
rnacentral:rRNA from 1 species